CCUAUAUGCUGAAGAUAGACACUAAAUCAUCUCACUACUUUAAAAAAAGUGGUGAGAUGAUUUAGUGUCUAUCUUCAGCAUAUAGGCUU
rnacentral:pre_miRNA from 1 species